GACGAACAAGAAGACAUCUUCCCCGUUCUUCAGAAAAAAAGUCCCGAUGAGUUCUACGGCCUCAUGGGACGAUCGGCUGACAUCGAGCAAGCGCUGAGUCAGAGCAAUGGGAAGGCGAGCAAGUGGGAAGACGGCAGCCUCCACUUACCCAUGUGACGGCAACGCCUGGCGGUGGGGAUGCAGGGGCACGUCCUGCGCUGGAGAUGGAGUCGAAUUCGAGUGAAACCCCCCCCCCCCAUUCCCCCGUGUAUCGUCACCGAUCGGGUUGUUGUUUGUCAUCAAUGCGAUGUCGCGUGUGUCGCCGGCAACGACCGCCCCAAUUUACCCGUCGCCCCUACCCAGCGCUGAGCCAGAUCCACACCCGAGCGAUCGGUUGCGUGCAACUUGGUUGCGUGCAACCUGGUUGCCACUCGGUUGCUUGCGACUCAGCUGCGUGUAACUUCGCUGCAACUUGGUUGCCACUCGGUUGCUUGCAACUCGGCUACGUGCAACUUCGCUGCAACUUGGUUACUUGGUUACUACUCAGUUGCUUGCAACUCGGCUGCGUGUAACUUUGCUGCAACUUGGUUGCCACUCGGUUGCUUGCAACUCGGCUAUGUGCAACUUCGCUGCAACUUGGUUGCCACUCAGUUGCUUGCAACUCGGCUAUGUGCAACUUCGCUGCAACUUGGUUGCCACUCAGUUGCUUGCGACUCGGCUACGUGUCACUUCGCUGCAACUCGGUUGCAACUCAGUCGCAUGCAACUCGGUUAAAUGCAACUUGCCUCCGCGUAAUAUGGUUGCAACCUGCUUACGUGCAACCCGCUUGCAUGCCAAUCGGUUGCAGGCAACUUUCUUGCGACUCAGUUGCGCGCCGCUUGCUCUCGUGCAACCGACUCGCCGCUUGGGACGGCCUCGGCUCUCGCCCAAUUUGCCGGGACGCGUUUCAUUCGUUUCAUUCGUUUCAUUCGUCACUGUUGCCACACGAUGGUGAGGUUGGGUCAAAGCCCCACAAAGCAUUUAGCGUAGAACUCC